GACGAACGCUGGCGGCGUGCUUAACACAUGCAAGUCGAACGGAAAGGCCCUGCUUUUGUGGGGUGCUCGAGUGGCGAACGGGUGAGUAACACGUGAGUAACCUGCCCUUGACUUUGGGAUAACUUCAGGAAACUGGGGCUAAUACCGGAUAGGAGCUCCUGCUGCAUGGUGGGGGUUGGAAAGAUUCGGCGGUUGGGGAUGGACUCGCGGCUUAUCAGCUUGUUGGUGGAGUAGUGGCUUACAAAGGCUUUGACGGGUAGCCGGCCUGAGAGGGUGACCGGGCACAUGGGGACUGAGAGACGGACCAGACUCCUACGGGAGGCAGCAGUGGAGAAUAUUGCACAAUGGGCGGAAGCCUGAGGCAGCAACGCCGCGUGCGGGAUGACGUGCUUCGGGGUGUAAACCGCUUUCGCCUGUGACGAAGCGUGAGUGACGGUAAUGGGUAAAGAAGCACCGGCUAACUACGUG
rnacentral:rRNA from 1 species